GGGAAUUUGAUGAACUUGAAAGAGAAUUUGUAUCUGGUAGCAAGUGAUUAGUUCAAUCUCUUUUCAUAGACAUUAAUGUUUGCUGUUGUAAUUUUAUAAUGAAUUAAGUGCAAGUAUUUUAUUUUAUAUAAAUUUGUAAGCUAGGUCGGCCAUUGGUGAAGCUUGCAAGAUCAUAUGGCCUUUGAGUUUGUAAAAAUUAAAGAUCAUAAUUUAUUAAUUUUUCUGUAAAGCACCGAAUUUGUAACACAUAGAUGGAGUCAUCAAAUGAUUUGAAAUGAUUAGCAUGACUGUAAAUUUUAGACAAAGUAUAAGCUUGGUGCAUAUAUGAAUGUUAUUUAUGAUGUUUGUCUCAAGCUAAUAUGCCAUACACUCUUGCAAGUUUAAAUCCGACUACUAGAUAAGUUUUACUCUCCGCUCACUCCCAUUUUUUAAUAAUG
rnacentral:lncRNA from 1 species